rnacentral:tRNA from 1 species
ACCUGGCUGGCUCAGUUGGUAGAGCAUGUGAUUCUUGAUCUCAGGGUUGUGAGUUCAAGCCCCAUGUUGGGUG